rnacentral:rRNA from 1 species
UACGGAGGGUGCAAGCGUUGUUCGGAAUUAUUGGGCGUAAAGCGCGUGUAGGGGGUUGGGUAAGUCAGAUGUUAAAGCCUUCUGCUUAACAGAAGAAGUGCAUUUGAAACUACUCGGCUGGAGUACGGGAGAGGAGAGUGGAAUUCCCGGUGUAGAGGUGAAAUUCGUAGAUAUCGGGAGGAACACCAGUGGCGAAGGCGGCUCUCCGGUCCGAUACUGACACUGAGACGCGAAAGCGUGGGGAGCAAACAGG